AGCUCAGCUAGGCGACCAAAAUAGACCUCCUCCUCGUCUAUCUUCUUGGCCGGGAAGAAAGGAAGCGCCAGAGACCAGGCCAUGGUGGCGCCGCUGGAGUUCCUGGAGCCACGCUCGCCGGCCUGUACCAGCGGGGGCUUGGGCACCAGCUCGCCCUCGCCCUCGUCCAGGUCCGGCUGACUAGAUCCAUCCCUCCUUCCUAUCCCUAGUCCUGGUGAGCUAGUUAGUACUGUAUCAUGUAGCAGGGACCUCGCAUCUAGUUUUAGGAUUGAGGGAUGCGCUUUUGGCCGGCCGGUUGGUUCGAUUCCAUCUGAUCUCCCCUAACAUUAGGAUAACACUAAUUGAUAAACACUCCAUAGGCCCGGGGAGUCUGAAUUGGGCGAGGCUCUCUUUUCCUCCUGUUAUCUCUUUCUUUUAAGCUUCAUUAUUUGGACCAAAUCCACGGCAAAUUGCCAGAUUUCUGCAGAGAUUCUUGCAAAGGGAAAAACUGAAACACAUAUGCAGUAUCUAUAUGAUGCAUGUCUCCAGUAUUUUCAAUGCCAACAACGUGUUUUGGCUGUAUAUAUUUGUAGCUAGCUACAUGGUUCGGCUGCGCAUACGUAUGUGACCAGAAAAAGAAUUGCGCCAAUGGCUGUGUCCGACGACAAUGCUGGGAGAUUUUUUGUCCUCUAUCCUGGUAUUUUACUAUAACUGCUAGACGAGUGCGAGUCAUAUAUUCCAGAGACCGCCAUGUGGUGUGCGUGCGGUAGAACUUCACCAGCGAGCCCAUCGGUGUGAGGCCCACUUCAACUGUAAAAGGUGCCCAACACUAGGUGACCGAAAUAGAUCCUCCUCCUCGUCUCGUCUUCUUGGACGACAAGAAAGGAAGAGCCGGAGACCAGCCAAUGCUGCCACUGCUGGAGUUCAUGGAGGACCUCUACCCACGGACGCCCUGGCACCAGCGCACCCUAAACCUCCUGGCCCUCGUCGUCGUCCACGUCCGGUUGACUCGAUCCAUCCCUCCCUAUCCGCCGCCCUGUCUGCCAGUUAGUAUCAUGUAGCGGCGACCUCUGAUAUGCUUUUAGAGCCGAGAAGGAGACGCCCUUUUGGCUGCUUGGUUGGUAAUUCGAUUCCAUUUGGCACUCCAUAGGCUUUGUGGAUUCUCAAGGGGGAGAGGCAUGGGCAGUCACUCUCUUUUACUCUUGUUAUUAUCUCUUGAAGCUUCAUUAUUUGUAGUGCAUUCACAAAAAAAUGUUCGUCUCGCAGAGAUUUGUCACACAAUACAUACAUACGGAAAUUCGUAUGCAGUGACCUACCCACUUCAGCGUCGAUCUGUAGUUUUUCAAGGCAAACAGUGUGUUUUGUCUGUAUAUCUGUAGCUACAUACAUAGUUUGGCUGGAUGUUUGUACAUGGCUACAAAGAAUGGUGUCGAUGGCUGUGGCGGAUGCCAAUGCUGGGAGAUUCGGGGUCCCCCGCCCUGGUAGUUAUUACUAUAACGUAGCACGGUCUGAUCUGUAAUAGGGUUGAGGGAGACACCCUUUUGGCUGCCUGGUAAGGUGGCCCACUUGGAUCUACUUUAGCUCCGUGCUUUAUUAGUGACCACUUUACUGUGAUAUAUGUUGGGGAACGUAGCAAUAAUUCAAAAAAUUUCUACGUGUCUCCAAGAUCAAUUUAGGAGAUGCUAGCAACGA